GUUAUAUUGACCAGAUACUAUAGUGACUAGGGCCCGAAAGGUUGCAAGAUAGAAUCCCCAAGCUGACAAGUGACAGGAUCUCCAGCAGCAGGGCGCGACCUCCUCAACUUCGACCUCUUCUCCCUUACAGCCUACAAGAUUGGCAGUAGCACCAGCAUCUUGGGAAGGCUCCUUCUGUAUUCUCAGUCCUCUUGGAAUGCGCUUGUUGCGCCAAAACUCGCUAAGAGUGGUGCCAUGCAGGAACAAAUGUGUUUCUUUCUCUCGGAGUCUCUGGAGUUGGAUUUUGAGUUUGACAGUCGAGCGUGGAACUGGGUUGCCUAUGUUGGAGGUGCAUGGCAACAAUUGAACAAGAUGAAGGAAAAAGGGUCUCUGUAUUUUGCCUCCAACCCCCUUCGAUGCGUAGAACGGAUGUGGGUGGGGCCAGGUCUACAUAAGGGUGCACAUUUUAAAAAAUCACAAAAGCUCUGACGAAGGCCAUGUGGCCGAUACGUAAGCUUAUUAAAUAUCGGUGAUACUAUCAA